rnacentral:rRNA from 1 species
UCCUACGGGGGGCAGCAGUGAGGAAUAUUGGUCAAUGGGCGAGAGCCUGAACCAGCCAAGUCGCGUGAAGGAUGACGGCCCUACGGGUUGUAAACUUCUUUUGUCAGGGAGCAAUUGAGUCCACGUGUGGGCUUAGCGAGAGUACCUGAAGAAAAAGCAUCGGCUAACUCCGUGCCAGCAGCCGCGGUAAUACGGAGGAUGCGAGCGUUAUCCGGAUUUAUUGGGUUUAAAGGGUGCGUAGGCGGAAUAUCAAGUCAGCGGUAAAAAUUCGGGGCACAACCCCGCCGUGCCGUUGA